rnacentral:rRNA from 1 species
CCUACGGGAGGCAGCAGUGAGGAAUAUUGGUCAAUGGACGAGAGUCUGAACCAGCCAAGUAGCGUGAAGGAUGACGGCUCUAUGAGUUGUAAACUGCUUUUGUACGAGGGUAAACGCAGAUACGCGUAUCUGUCUGAAAGUAUCGUACGAAUAAGGAUCGGCUAACUCCGUGCCAGCCGCCGCGGUAAUACGGAGGAUUCAAGCGUUAUCCGGAUUUAUUGGGUUUAAAGGGUGCGUAGGCGGUCGGAUAAGUUAGAGGUGAAAUCCCGAGGCUCAACUUCGGAAUUGCCUCUGAUACUGUUCGGCUAGAGAGUAGUGGCGGUAGGCGGAAUGUAUGGUGUAGCGGUGAAAUGCUUAGAGAUCAUACAGAACACCGAUUGCGAAGGCAGCUUACCAAGCUACUUCUGACGUUGAGGCACGAAAGCGUGGGGAGCAAACAGGAUUAGAUACCCGGGUAGUC